rnacentral:rRNA from 1 species
GAUGAACGCUGGCGGCGUGCCUAAUACAUGCAAGUCGAACGCUGGAAAUCUAGCUUGCUAGAUUGAAGGAGUGGCGAACGGGUGAGUAAUACAUAAGCAACCUACCCACGAAGACUGGGAUAAUCUCUGGAAACGGGGACUAAUACCGGAUAGGUAAUCGGAAGGCAUCUUCUGAUUAUUAAAGGUUAAAAACACUGGUGGUUGGGCUUAUGGCGCAUUAGUUAGUUGGUGAGGUAACGGCCCACCAAGACGAUGAUGCGUAGCCGGCCUGAGAGGGUGAACGGCCACAUUGGGACUGAGACACGGCCCAGACUCCUACGGGAGGCAGCAGUAGGGAAUUUUCGGCAAUGGGGGAAACCCUGACCGAGCAACGCCGCGUGAGUGAUGCCGGCCUUCGGGUUGUAAAGCUCUGUUGUAAGGGAAGAACGGUAGAUAGAGAAUAUCUAAAUGACGGUACCUUACCAGAAAGCCACGGCUAACUACGUG